GUCUGUGGCCAUGCCACCCUGAACGUGCCCGAUGUCUGAUCUCAGAAGCUAAGCAGGGUCAGGUCUGGUUAGUACUUCGAUGGGAGACCACUUAGGAAGACCAAGUGCUGUAGGCA
rfam:Pteropus alecto contig4390, whole genome shotgun sequence.